UCUCCGUAGGUGAACCUGCGGAGGGAUCAUUACAGAGUUCUCGCCCUCGCGGGUAGAUCUCCCACCCACUGUUAUCGUUACUGUGUUGCUUUGGCGGGCCGCCGGGCCCCGCUCGGCCGCCGGCUCCGGCUGGCGCGCGCCCGCCAGAGGCCCAGCAAACUCUGAAUGUUAGUGCCGUCUGAGUACUAUAUAAUAGUUAAAACUUUCAACAACGGAUCUCUUGGUUCUG
rnacentral:misc_RNA from 1 species